GACGAACGCUGGCGGCGUGCUUAACACAUGCAAGUCGAACGAUGAAGCCGGAGCUUGCUCUGGUGAAUUAGUGGCGAACGGGUGAGUAACACGUGAGUAACCUGCCCUUGACUCUGGGAUAACUGCGGGAAACUGUAGCUAAUACCGGAUACGACCCUCGGAGGCAUCUCCUGGGGGUGGAAAGAAUUUCGGUCAAGGAUGGACUCGCGGCCUAUCAGCUAGUUGGUGAGGUAAAGGCUCACCAAGGCGACGACGGGUAGCCGGCCUGAGAGGGUAACCGGCCACACUGGGACUGAGACAGGGCACAGACUCCUACGGGAGGCAGCAGUGGGGAAUAUUGCACAAUGGGCGCAAGCCUGAUGCAGCAACGCCGCGUGAGGGAUGACGGCCUUCGGGUUGUAAACCUCUUUUAGCAGGGAAGAAGCGAAAGUGACGGUACCUGCAGAAAAAGCACCGGCUAACUACGUGCCAGCCGCCGCAGUAA
rnacentral:rRNA from 1 species